rnacentral:rRNA from 1 species
UACGGAGGGUGCAAGCGUUAUCCGGAUUUAUUGGGUUUAAAGGGUGCGUAGGUGGGAUGAUAAGUCAGAGGUGAAAGCUAGCAGCUUAACUGUUAAAUUGCCUUUGAUACUGUUAUUCUUGAGUAUAGUUGGCGUUGGCGGAAUGUGACAUGUAGCGGUGAAAUGCGUAGAUAUGUCACAGAACACCGAUCGCGAAGGCAGCUAACGAAACUAUCACUGACACUGAUGCACGAAAGCGUGGGGAGCAAACAGG